CCUGAGAAACCCAAAAGAUCGAAUGGGGAGAUUCAUCGUCAGCGUAUUUGGUAUAUGUGCAAAUUGCGAUAUAAAUUUUCUUUCACGAGAUAAUAUUUGUACGUGUUUGUAUCAUUUAAUUGCUGAAUAUCGUCGGCGUGCACUUCUCCCCUAGUAGGACGUCGCGACCCGUUGGGUGUCGGUCUAUGGCCCGGAUGAUAGUCUUUAAUGUCAUUGUAAAAUGUUAUAUUGAAGAUCACUGGUGUUUUCGGCCGGCUGCCCGGCGGUAUUCGCACGGUAUUGAGCCGCAUAAAUGCGUCAAACUUGCCACAAGCGAGGUCAAUGUUCUGGUAGUUACGGACCUAGUGCCGUCGCUGGACCUGACCAGUUGUUAGUUGUGCAAUGUUCUUUGACUGGCUCAUUUGAUUGUAUUAAUUACCGGUCAGCGACGCUACUGCUUUGGGUACUUUCAGGACCCGUCUUGAAACACGGACCAAGGAGUCUAACAUGUACGCAAGUCAUUGGGAUUUAUUUUUUAAUGAAAACCUAAAGGCGUAAUGAAAGUAAAGGUUGUCCUUGCGACAAUUGAGGGAGGAUGAGUUAUAUUACGAUGUAUCUCCGCACUCCCGGGGUGUCUCAGUCUUAUUACAAG
rnacentral:rRNA from 1 species